rnacentral:rRNA from 1 species
AGCUCCAAUAGCGUAUAUUAAAGUUGUUGCGGUUAAAAAGCUCGUAGUUGGAUUUCUGUCUGGGACGAUCGGUCCGCCCUCUGGGUGUGCAUCUGACUCGGCCUGGGCAUCUUCUUGGUGAACGCUUCCACUCCGUGGGGCGGUGGCCAAGGCCUUUACUUUGAGGAAAUUGGAGUGUUUCAAGCAGGCCUACGCCUUGAACACACUAGCAUGGAAUAAUAAGAUAGGACCUUAGUUCUAUUUUGUUGGUUUCUAGAGCUGAGGUAAUGAUUAAUAGGGAUAGUUGGGGGCAUUCGUAUUUAACUGUCAGAGGUGAAAUUCUUAGAUUUGUUAAAGACGAACUACUGCGAAAGCAUUUGCCAAGGAUGUUUUCA